rnacentral:rRNA from 1 species
CGGACGGGUGAGUAAUGUCUGGGAAACUGCCCGAUGAGGGGGAGUAACUACUGGAAACGGUAGCUAAUACCGCAUAACGUCGCAAGACCAAAGAGGGGGACCUUCGGGCCUCUUGCCAUCGGAUGUGCCCAGAUGGGAUUAGCUAGUAGGUGGGGUAACGGCUCACCUAGGCGACGAUCCCUAGCUGGUCUGAGAGGAUGACCAGCCACACUGGAACUGAGACACGGUCCAG